UACGGAGGAUCCAAGCGUUAUCCGGAUUUAUUGGGUUUAAAGGGUGCGUAGGCGGUUUAUUAAGUCAGUGGUGAAAGCCCGGAGCUCAACUUCGGAACUGCCAUUGAUACUGAUAGACUUGAGUACUGAUGAAGUGGGCGGAAUGUGACAAGUAGCGGUGAAAUGCUUAGAUAUGUCACAGAACACCGAUUGCGAAGGCAGCUCACUAAAGUGUAACUGACGCUGAGGCACGAAAGCGUGGGGAUCAAACAGG
rnacentral:rRNA from 1 species